UACAGAGGUCUCGAGCGUUAGGCGGAAUCACUGGGCUUAAAGCGUGUGUAGGCGGAUCGGUAAGUACCUUGUGAAAUCCCACAGCUUAACUGUGGAACUGCUUGGUAUACUGCCAGUCUUGAGCUACUUAGGGGCUACCGGAACAAAUGGUGGAGCGGUGAAAUGCGUAGAUAUCAUUUGGAACGCCAAUGGUGAAAACAGGUAGCUGGGAGUGUGCUGACGCUGAGACACGAAAGCCAGGGGAGCAAACGGG
rnacentral:rRNA from 1 species